rnacentral:rRNA from 1 species
GACGGAGGGUGCUAGCGUUGUUCGGAAUCACUGGGCGUAAAGGGCGCGUAGGCGGCUUCAGGUGUCGGAUGUGAAAGCCCGGGGCUCAACCCCGGAGGUGCAUCCGAAACUCUGGGGCUGGAGGCCGGAAGAGGAGGGUGGAAUACCCAGUGUAGAGGUGAAAUUCGUAGAUAUUGGGUGGAACACCGGUGGCGAAAGCGGCUCUCUGGUCCGGUCCUGACGCUGAGGCGCGAAGGCGUGGGGAGCAAACAGG